GAUGAACGCUAGCGGGAGGCCUAACACAUGCAAGCCGAGCGGUAUUGUUUCUUCGGAAAUGAGAGAGCGGCGUACGGGUGCGUAACACGUGUGCAACCUGCCUUUAUCUGGGGGAUAGCCUUUCGAAAGGAAGAUUAAUACUCCAUAACAUAUUGAACGGCAUCGUUUAAUAUUGAAAGCUCCGGCGGAUAGAGAUGGGCACGCGCAAGAUUAGCUAGUUGGUGAGGUAACGGCUCACCAAGGCGAUGAUCUUUAGGGGGCCUGAGAGGGUGAUCCCCCACACUGGUACUGAGACACGGACCAGACUCCUACGGGAGGCAGCAGUGGGGAAUAUUGGUCAAUGGGUGCAAGCCUGAACCAGCCAUCCCGCGUGAAGGACGACUGCCCUAUGGGUUGUAAACUUCUUUUGUAUAGGGAUAAACCUACCCUCGUGAGGGUAGCUGAAGGUACUAUACGAAUAAGCACCGGCUAACUCCGUGCCAGCAGCAGCCGCAG
rnacentral:rRNA from 1 species